rnacentral:rRNA from 1 species
CCUACGGGCGGCAGCAGUCGAGAAUCAUUCACAAUGGGGGAAACCCUGAUGGUGCGACGCCGCGUGGGGGAAUGAAGGUCUUCGGAUUGUAAACCCCUGUCAUGUGGGAGCAAAUUAAAAAGAUAGUACCACAAGAGGAAGAGACGGCUAACUCUGUGCCAGCAGCCGCGGUAAUACAGAGGUCUCAAGCGUUGUUCGGCAUCACUGGGCGUAAAGGGUGCGUAGGCUGUUUCGUAAGUCGUGUGUGAAAGGCGCGGGGCCAACCCGCGGACGGCAAAUGAUACUGCGAGACUAGAGUAAGGGCGGGGGAACCGGAAUGCUCGGUGGAGGAGUGAAAAGCGGAGA